AGACCGGCGCACGGGUGCGUAACGCGUAUGCAAUCUACCUUUUGCAGGGGAAUAGCCCAGAGAAAUUUGGAUUAAUGCCCCAUAGUAUAGUGACUCGGCAUCGAGAUACUAUUAAAGUCACAACGGCAAAAGAUGAGCAUGCGUCCCAUUAGCUAGUUGGUAAGGUAACGGCUUACCAAGGCGACGAUGGGUAGGGGUCCUGAGAGGGAGAUCCCCCACACUGGUACUGAGACACGGACCAGACUCCUACGGGAGGCAGCAGUGAGGAAUAUUGGACAAUGGGCGCAAGCCUGAUCCAGCCAUGCCGCGUGCAGGAUGACGGUCCUAUGGAUUGUAAACUGCUUUUAUACGAGAAGAAACACCGGUUCGUGAACCGGCUUGACGGUAUCGUAAGAAUAAGGAUCGGCUAACUCCGUGCCAGCAGCCGCGGUAAUACGGAGGAUCCAAGCGUUAUCCGGAAUCAUUGGGUUUAAAGGGUCCGUAGGCGGCCUUAUAAGUCAGUGGUGAAAUCUCACGGCUCAACCGUGAAAUGGCCAUUGAUACUGUAGGGCUUGAAUUAUUAGGAAGUAACUAGAAUAUGUAGUGUAGCGGUGAAAUGCUUAGAGAUUACAUGGAAUACCAAUUGCGAAGGCAGGUUACUACUAAUGGAUUGACGCUGAUGGACGAAAGCGUGGGUAGCGAACAGGAUUAGAUACCCUGGUAGUCCACGCCGUAAACGAUGGAUACUAGCUGUUGGGGGCAACUUCAGUGGCUAAGCGAAAGUGAUAAGUUCCCACC
rnacentral:rRNA from 1 species